rnacentral:rRNA from 1 species
CGGGGGGGUAAGCGUUGUUCGGAAUUACUGGGCGUAAAGGGCUCAUAGGCGGCCAACUAAGUCAGACGUGAAAUCCCUCAGCUUAACUGGGGAACUGCGUCUGAUACUGGAUGGCUUGGAUCCGGGAGAGGGAUGCGGAAUUCCAGGUGUAGCGGUGAAAUGCGUAGAUAUCUGGAGGAACACCGGUGGCGAAGGCGGCAUCCUGGACCGGUAUCGACGCUGAGGAGCGAAAGCCAGGGGGGCAAACGGGAUUAGAUACCCCGGUAGUCCUGGCCCUAAACGAUGAAUGCUUGGUGUAGCGGGUAUCGAUCCCUGCUGUGCCGAAGCUAACGCAUUUAGCAUUCCGCCUGGGGAGUACGGUCGUAAGGCUG